CAAAAUAAAUAAACAUAAAUAAAAACCACUCCUUCAAUUAGAAGGAAAUAAAAAUUCUUGACACCGAAGAAAAUUACCAAAAAAGAUUAAUUUCGGAAAUGAUACACAUAAAACAACAAACAAACGGACUAAACUCACAGAAUGAUACAGAACUUCUUCAUGAUUCUUAUUUGUGUUUACUUGACUCGUUUAAAAACAACACAGAUAUACGUUAUUGACUUCUGCUUCAACGGUUCUGCCUCACUUGUGCUCUGUCUGUCUCGGCAACAAGAUCGUCGACAAUGGCGAACGUUUAUAUAAUUACUGUUCGAACAUCUGUUCAAAGAAUAAAUGUGGCGAAUACUACGUUUGUAUAAUAAACUUACAUAUGAAGCCGCGACUGAUUUCACGAGUUUCAUCAUGUGAGGAAAAAAUUGUGCUGCUUGGAGGACUCUCUUCAUUCCACUAAAGAAGGAACGGAUUAACACACUUACGCGCGCGCGCGCACGCGCGCGCGCACACACACACACACACACACACACACCCGCAGGCGCACACACACGUACACACGCGCGCGCGCGCAUAAAAUGAUUGUGAAAAUUAUAAUGGAUUUUCGACUUUCUACAUGGAACGAGGUCCAUCUUAUUGUUAGUACUGCUCUACAUAGGUUUAUUUUGACUACACACAAAAUACUUCUGUUUACAUUAACAUACAAAAUGGUAUUCCUUUUUUUGAUACACGUAAACAGCAUUACUCGAUUAUAUUAUUUAACCGAAUUUAUUUUUGAAUAGCAAUAUAAUUAUACUGAUCGUAUUAACAAGUUGUUUUAUAUUAUGCAUAAUUUUUUUCCAUUAAAUAAUGUUAAUAAUGAAUAAAUAUAUCAUAAACGUUUAUUUAAUAAAUAUAUUUUCUUAUAUA